rnacentral:ncRNA from 12 species
AAUGGUACUCCCUCAAGAAAACUGAGGCCGAGCAGUGCGGAGGCGCAAUUCGGGGAAGCAUCGUGCAGGUUGGGAUAGACCUGCGGGAGCUUUC